UACAGAGGUCCCAAGCGUUGUUCGGAUUCACUGGGCGUAAAGGGUGCGUAGGCGGUCGGGUAAGUCUGUCGUGAAAUCUCCGAGCCCAACUCGGAAACUGCGUCGGAUACUAUUCGGCUAGAGGAAUGGAGGGGAGACUGGAAUUCUCGGUGUAGCAGUGAAAUGCGUAGAUAUGCGGAGGAACACCGAUGGCGAAGGCAAUCCCCUGGGCCUGCACUGACGCUCAUGCACGAAAGCGUGGGGAGCAAACAGG
rnacentral:rRNA from 2 species